ACUCCUACGGGAGGCAGCAGUGAGGAAUAUUGGUCAAUGGGCGCAAGCCUGAACCUGCCAUCCCGCGUGCAGGAAGACGGCCCUAUGGGUUGUAAACUGCUUUUCCAGGGGGAGAAUUUUUCUGUCGUGACAGGAAUUGACGGUACUCUGGGAAUAAGCAUCGGCUAACUCCGAGCCAGCAGCCGCGGUAAUACGGAGGAUGCGAGCGUUAUCCGGAUUUAUUGGGUUUAAAGGGUGCGUAGGCGGAUUGAUAAGUCAGUGGUGAAAACCUGCAGCUUAACUGUAGACUUGCCGUUGAUACUGUCAGUCUUGAGUGUGGUCAAGGUAGGCGGAAUGUGUAAUGUAGCGGUGAAAUGCUUAGAUAUUACACAGAACACCGAUUGCGAAGGCAGUUUACUGGGCCAUUACUGACGCUGAUGCACGAAAGCGUGGGGAUCGAACAGGAUUAGAUACCCUGGUAGUC
rnacentral:rRNA from 1 species